GUACGUACUACCUUAUUGAAUUGAACCAAUGUAAUUGUUCAACAGCGACACCAUCAGGUCUCUGUUUUUAUACCAACGUGCGUUCAAUGCGAUCCCUUUCCUCUUAAGUUCGGAAAAUGGUCCGAAAUAGUUACGAUUUGUUUCUUAUGCAGAAAGUGCCACAUGAGUCUGGGAAAUCAGAAUUAACGCUCUGCCUUAACUAAAUUUCACCUUGCUUUUUAAAAUAUGAUGAAUCGCAUAAACAGAGUGGUAGUAUGAUAGAGUUUCCAACACAGAGGACUGGGGACGGGAUGAAAAGAGGUGCGUCAAAGCGAAUGCACAUAUAUGCACAUAGAAAGUAUUCCGAUUGAGGAAAGUAAAUACAGGAUCAAAACGAAACAAAGCGAAAUCGCGGACAUUUCAUACUAUUUUAAAAAAAGAGUACGAAUGGUACGAAAGAGUACGUUCGGUUCGUUAAUAGUGUUAUGCCGGGUCCAGCGCUCGCAGUGGCCGCAGAUGCGUAGCCAGCGCCCCUCCCUUCUCAUCUGGGCUGGGCCUGACGGGGCCUGACCGCGGACUGCUGGGAGAUCUGCAUUCAAUAAUAAUCAUUACGGGGCAUCUUCAGUGCAUACAUCCCAGAACACUGCUAUUGAAUUCGAACGUACCGUAAAAGGUGCCACCGAGGAAAACUGACCGUGACGCGUGUUUUGCAGACGGGAGACCUGCAGAAUGAACCUGUUCGGGGGCAUUUCGGCACGCAUACAAAAGGACAGACUGAAGGCAGAAGGCGUGGGGACCCAAGAGCAGGCGGUGAAAUUUCUCAACCAGGACUACGAAUCCCUGAAGCAGGAAUGUUUAGGGAGUGGCCAGCUCUUCGAGGACCCAUCUUUCCCAGCUCAACCCCUGUCCCUGGGCUUCAAGGAACUGGCCCCCAACACUUCCAAGACGCGGGGCGUGAAAUGGAUACGGCCCACGGAGCUGUCAGAAAACCCUCAGUUCAUCUUGGGUGGAGCUACUAGGACGGAUAUUUGUCAGGGGGCUCUAGGGGACUGCUGGCUCCUGGCUGCCAUCGCCUCCCUCACUCUCAACGAGAAACUCCUCCACAGAGUGGUCCCCCAUGGACAGUCUUUCACCAAUGGCUAUGCCGGAAUCUUCCACUUCCAGUUCUGGCAGUUCGGCGAGUGGGUGGAUGUGGUCAUCGACGACCGGCUUCCAGUCAAGGAUGGGGAGCUCAUGUUUGUUCACUCCGCAGAGGGCUGUGAGUUCUGGAGCGCACUGCUGGAGAAGGCCUAUGCCAAACUAAAUGGCUCCUAUGAAGCUCUGUCAGGGGGCAGCACUACUGAAGGCUUUGAGGAUUUCACGGGGGGUGUGUCCGAGAUGUAUGAGCUUCGUAAGGCGCCCAAGGACCUGUACAGGAUCAUAGCCAAGGCUUUGGAAAGGGGAUCUCUGCUGGGAUGCUCCAUCGAUAUCACCAGUGCCUUUGACAUGGAGGCUGUGACGUUCAAAAAGCUGGUCAAAGGUCAUGCCUAUUCUGUUACAGGUCUGAGGCAGGUGUUGUACCGGAGCAGGCCGGAGAAGCUUAUCCGUAUCCGAAACCCUUGGGGUCAGGUGGAGUGGACUGGGGCCUGGAGCGAUAACUCUCCUGAAUGGAAUAGCAUCGAGCCAUCUGACAGGGAGAACAUGCACUGUCGGAAGGAGGACGGAGAGUUCUGAUAUCUGGAUUUGACACUGAGGACCUUGUGGUUAACGCUAGAUACUGGUAAAAGGGCAGCACGAACCGUAAAGGUUACUUGAAAGAAUUUUGUGAUCUUGGGAACAUGGGAACACUACUGUACAUUUCUGUGAGGUGGCUGAGUUUGGACAUCUGCAUCAACUGCAUUCUGCAGCAGUAUGGCCCUCUCACCAGCUACUUCAAAUCUUUAAAUGAGAAACAACCAAGGUUCGAAGGCUGGCGAAGGCAUUUUCCGAUCCCCUGACGGACGUCUACCUCCUGUUCCUUCAGGCCACAUUGCCAGUGUUGUCUAAACUGAACCUCCUUCUCCAGAGAGAAAAGGCAUCUAUAUUCCAGUGGCAUGAAGAGGUGAACGGGAGGGAACAAGGACAUGUAGGGAGGCUCUGUGUGUACCAAAAUUAACCUAUUGACGCAGACUGUGGUGGCAGCUGCUAGACAUAGCAGCUGCUAGGAUAAUGUACUGAAUAACAUGGUGUACCAGAUUAGGCAAAAUUGCCAGAAAUUGGAAAAGUACGGACAGGGGCGGGGGGCUGCUUGUAGAAGGGUAUAAGAUACACAUGAAUAGUAAGGAAGUUGAACUCUGUUGGGAUACGGUGUAUCACAGACUUCCCAGAUCGAUCUGUUGGAAUAAAUGGAAUAAAAGGUUAUUGGAAUAAAUGGUUAUUGGAUUAUCUCAUCCACGCCUCCAGGUGAUCUCUUCUCAUCUACGGACCCGGUGGAGUUGGUGUACUCCAACAUGGGCUGUUUGGCUAUGUUGGUGUCUCCUUUCUAAAGUGCAACACCCCUGUGAAAUAUAGGUUGUGUUACUUUGUCAAAGACAAUUAAGCCAUCUAAAGCUAUCUAAUUUCAAAACAUCUGAGAUAUGCUCAACAGGCUCCUUGAGGCUGGAGAGGUCACAUCACUGAAGGUUCAACAAUUCCAGCAGGUAACACUGGCCUUUCUGGUCAGAGUUGUGGAGUAUGCCAUGGAUAAUCUUCCGUUGAAAGAUGCUCUCCUGAACCACGCAAGAUUUGUUGAUGUGCAGCUGAGGGAUGAGUGUGGGGCUGAAGAUGCCCUAUACUUUGUAUACUUCAUAUACUAUUUUUAAUGGUCAUGAUCACAAAACAAAUCUGUCUCUCACUGUAUUUUAAUCAGCCUUGUAUACAUUGUGCUCUUUUUAAGAUUUCAGGAAAUCCUUCUUUUUCAUGACCCAAAUGAACAAGACCAAGUAAGUGAGGAGUUCAUGGAGUACCAACUGAUGGGCAUAGCCAUGCCCCAGGACCCAACAUACUUUGAUAUUGAGGAGUUUUGGGGAAGGAUGUCCUCAAUAAAGAACAAGUACCGCAUAUUGAUCAGUAGGUGGAGUAAAAUCUACACAUACGCAGUUGGAAAACACCACAAGAAACGAAUCACAACGGUACUCUUCGGCUCGUUUAAAUCUGCGCCAUUUUAUGAGAAUCGAAGACGCAAAACAACAAGGCGUUUUCCUCUAUGUAAACAGAGCAGUUUUAUGCAAAACAGAAGACGGGAAGACAUACGGAUUUGAAAAAAUCUUGCAACCUCUUUUGCAGGAUCUCCAAACUUUGGAACAGCAAGCUUCUCGUGCAAAUUCUCAGACCACUGAAGUGAAGGGAGGUGAAUUCAAACUUCGGACUGCAGAAGAGCACCAAGGACACGUGAAACUUGCUACAGAGAAAGAGAAGAAAGAAACUCAUAAAUGUUUGGAACCACUUAAGGACAAGUUUGACGCAAUGGCAACCUCAGCCAAACUCAGCCAAGUAAUCUUAGGAGAAAAUAACUAUGAAAGGUUAAAUCUCCCAGCUGGUAUAGCAGACUCAUUGAAUGACCUUAAAAAAGAAAUCCAAACACAACUUGGUGUGUUAGAAGAUUUUCGAUUUCAGCUCAAAGAUCUGGAUUUUAAUGAAUUUGUCAACCUCAGUUCAACUUCGGACUUACAAGACAGAGCUACACUCAAAAUAAUUUUUUUGCCGACAUCUACAAGUACCUCUUCUUCAUCUGUGCCAAAACAAAGUGAGACCUCUUCAGUAUCUUCCUAUGAUACAGACAUAAUAUCCUCACCAUCAUCUGUACUGUCGACAGAAUCUGCAUCCUCUGUCAGAAGGCAAGCUUGGCCCAAUACUUUCCCAAUACCACAGUUUAGUUUUGAUGCAGAAAUACAACUGCAAAAAGCUCAACUUGCUUAUCAAACUGAUGAUACUGUCCUGAGUCCCAAUUCCUAGCUAAAAGUCUGACAUUUUGGAUUCUUUAGUCUCAGAAAUAAUAAAGUUCAAGGCAUACCCUUCAGCUGCAGAUCUUGAUGAUGUAGCCGCUGCGUUGAUACAGAAGCAUCCACGUCUAAAAGAAAAGGGCUCUGUGAGUGGCUACUAUGGCUGGAAAAUUAGUUUAAAAUAUAAGAUGGCAAACUACAGAACAAAAUUGGGAAACAGGAUGUUCUGAGCUGAACAUCAAUUCCCAUAAGCGAAAAGGAUCCACUGGAAGUCCUAACCAAGAAGAAACCGAGAAAAGCUGAGGUAAAUUACUGUCCAGAUUAGCCAAUGGGUGAAACAAAAGAAACACUUGAAAAUCAAAGGAUUACACUAUUAUUGGAGGUAACUAAAAGAAACAAUGAGCAGGUUAUCAAGGGGCUGAUGGACAGAACGUUUGCUCUACGGAGGCACGAGGUGGUAGAAGAUUCACCUUUCAUUGCGGAAUUCAAGAACAGAUGGCCAGCACUCUUUACUGAGCGAGAGGUAUCUGCGGAAUUCAGCAGGAUUAUAAUUCCUUUGGUGUCCAAAUUCAUGGGUCAGCUUGAUCAUCUCUCCCCCCAGCUCCUCAAAAAUUUCAAAAAGAAAGGAGGAGCAGCCACAAAGAAGAUCAGACAUCCUGUCAGUUUUGCAUCAGGUCGGCCGACAGGAACAGGCAGACAAGGCGAAUUCAAGGCAAACACGGGGUUUAUUUGGGAGAUCCGGGACAGGGAACAUAGGACGGCUACUGACAUCAAUGACGGACACCGCUAACAGAGCAUCAUCAUUGAAAAAAAGUAUGAAUGCAUCCUGAAA